CAUUUCCUUUCUCUGUGUUUGACGGCUACUAUCGAUCUUCUUCGAUUCUCCUGCAACGGAUCAAUUUAUGAUCUCCACUAAUGGCUCUCAAUGCGUCGGUCCGUCGUCGAAAUCUCCAUUCCUCUGUUAUAAAUACAAAUGCUGUCAGGGGUGCAGACUCUACUGGUCAUACGAAGACGGACCUAGCAUCGUCGAAGGUGGUGAAGAAGGCGCGCAUUUGUUGAUAUGGAAACCAGUAUGGAAGCUUCACUGUCGCGGUUGGAGUUGCGAGGCAGAGGAAAGGAAACAACUUUCCACAAAUUGUUUUUUAUGUGGGUGUUUUUCUUGCUUCGACCAUCUGUCUUUUGAAAGGAAACAACUUUCCACAAAUUGUGUUAAAGUAGUUCCGCUUCAAGGACAUAGAAGGACUGCAAGUGCUACUGAUGAUAUCGGUGCUUGGAACAUUGUGGUUUCUGAUGAUGAAGCUUUUAGCUAGCUAUUGUUCUUCCUCCAGAGAAAAGUUCCUAGCUUCUUUGGCUUCUUGAACUAUAUGGAGUCUGGUUCCAAAACCUCUGUUAAAAAGUGGAAGGUCUUAGAUCACGGAGACUCUGAUGAUGUGUUGUUCGCUUUUGCUCCAAAAAGCAACACUCAUGCUCAGGCCUGCUCAUGCUAGCCAGUAGCCACCGUCAACCUCCACCGUCACCACCUAUGGGACUCGGUGCAUUCAGAAUAUCAGACUGCCCGAUUCAACCACUUUGGUUGAGAUGACCCAGUUACCUUAUCAAGUUGAGUGCACUCCGCCAAGGUUUACUCUUCAACCAUAUAUUGUUCAUCAUAGUUGUAGAGUCAUGAAGUAUCACUUUUCAUAAAUGUUCACUUUCGCCAAUGCAUCCCAAGUAAAAUGAUCUGUGCAAGUGCGUUUCUUGCAGCAAUAUUCAUAUGGUCCUAGGCCCCAGCCUUCGAGCAAGAUCGUAGAGCUAUCCGAGCGUAUAGCGGCAUUGUCUCCAGAAGAGCGGAAACAAAUUGGUCAUGCACUCAGUAAACACCAACGGCUUCUGAAACAACAAAUGAUUUCGUUCUAAGGCAUGAGGGAGAGAGCAAAACAAGCGUCUGGAACCAGAAAAGCAGAGGAAAAGAAGGAAGAGCAUGUGUUUAGUGUGAAGCUGGAGAAGUUACAGCUGCAAAGAUCAAGUUAUAAAAGAAGCAAGAGCGUUUACGUCUUUGGGUCUUGAGGAAUAGAAGGAGCUUGUGGAGAAAGUUCCGAUUGUGGAGAAAUUAGACUCAAAUCACUUGUGGUUUUACCGAAAGUUCUAAUGGGGUUUUCACUCUUUUCUAAAAAGAUACAUUUUGACUUUAUUAAAUUACCAGUUUAUCUGGUUACAAGGCACUUUGGUGAUCAAUGAAUCUCUCACAAAAAGUUGGUUUAAAAUGCUCUGAAAUACUGGUGGGAUUCUACAGAAUCAGCAUCAUACGUUUGGUUGUGAGAAAUGCAGGGUUUUACAAAGCUUAUGGAGGGUGGCUUUGAGAUAAGGUUGAAUAAGAUUUGUGAUUGUACUCAUAUGAACCAGGUAGUAUAGCUUUCUGCUAACCAUUUCAAAUUAUUUGGUUAUUUCCUUUCACCUGUAAAUCAGAGAGAAAACUAACUAUAAAUUAUGAAGAAGUUACAUAUCUUUUAAAAUAUUAUG